AUUGAACGCUGGCGGCAUGCUUUACACAUGCAAGUCGAACGGUAACAGGGUGCUUGCACCGCUGACGAGUGGCGAACGGGUGAGUAAUGCGUCGGAACGUGCCGAGUAGUGGGGGAUAACGCAGCGAAAGUUGUGCUAAUACCGCAUACGUACUGAGGUAGAAAGUGGGGGACCUUCGGGCCUCACGCUAUUCGAGCGGCCGCCGUCUGAUUAGCUAGUAGGUGAGGUAAAGGCUCACCUAGGCGACGAUCAGUAGCGGGUCUGAGAGGAUGAUCCGCCACACUGGGACUGAGACACGGCCCAGACUCCUACGGGAGGCAGCAGUGGGGAAUUGUGGACAAUGGGCGAAAGCCUGAUCCAGCCAUGCCGCGUGUCUGAAGAAGGCCUUCGGGUUGUAAAGGACUUUUGUCGGGGAGGAAAUCCCCAGCGUUAAUACCGCUGGGGGAUGACAGUACCUGAAGAAUAAGCACCGGCUAACUACGUGCCAGCAGCCGCGGUAA
rnacentral:rRNA from 1 species